rnacentral:rRNA from 1 species
GUGACCUCAAAUCAGGUAGGACUACCCGCUGAACUUUAAGCAUAUCAAUAAGCGGAGGA